GAAGUCUGAAGCUGAAGGUAUUGAUAAGGCUUCAGGUAUGCUUCAGUUUCAGUCUGGUUUCUUUAAUUGUUGGGGCUUUGGGACAUCUUGGCUGUUUGAGCUGACAAAACACUGACUUCAGUUAUUAGAGAUGCUGGUGCCACAGCUGCUCUUGGAGACUCUGGAGGACCUGAGUAAAGAUGAUUUCGAUAAAUUUAAGUGGUAUCUUGGUCUCAACAUCUUGAAAAACUGUGAACAAAUUCCUCUGUAUCAACUGGGGAGCCCAUUCCGGCACAACAUUGUGAGUAAGAUGAUCGAGCGCAACGGUGAAGAAAAGGCUGUGAACUCGACUGUUGAGAUCCUGAAGAUGAUGAAGCACAACAGCGCUGCAGAGAGGUUAAAGAAAACAUACACAGAGGGAGCAACAGCUCAGGAGAAAGUCUCCCUUGCAGUUGGAACCUCCUCCUCGUCUGCUUUGUGUCUGCCAACUGGAAGGAGAUCCUUUAUUGAUGGAGCAGCUGGUGCCAUCGCUCCUAUUCCCUCUAAUGGUACCAUGAUUAUCAGUGGUAAUGUUAGGGGAAAUAUUGGCCAUCAUAGUGGUAAUAUGAUCAUCAGUGGUAAUGUUCGCGGUAAUAUUGGCUGUAAUGCUGGCGGUAUUGUUGGCAAUAAUAAUGUAUUUGUUACAUCCCCAGCAGUUUACCAUCACCACUAUUACAAUUAAAAGUAAGCAGAUGUUAGGAGGGGAGUCAGUCUUACUGAAAAACUUACUGAAAGACGGUGUUCUCAGAAAAUAGUAAGUUUUUUUGUCAUGUGUUUAGUGUAGUUAAUAAAUAAAAAUCAAGUGUAAUAUCAUGACUCGUGAUAUGAAAUUAUUCACUUGAAGGUUUCAUUAAAGCAGCCGUCAUCUCGCAAAACAUGCCUACACACAGAAGCUCAUGAAAAUGUACUUCUUAGCCCAUUUUCCAAUACCACUUAUGGAUAGCUGACUUCAAUAAACUCAUGCAAACCAAACCCUUGUAUCAGGAGAACUGGAUACAGAGCUUGGGGCGGCCCUUCGUUCAUUUCUUUGAAAGUUGCCUAGUGGCACAUAAAGCCAAAAAAGUUUGACUUCCUGGGAUUACAAUUACCAGGAUCUUCUGCAUUGUUCGAGCAAGGGAGCAACUAGUUUCUGGUUUAGCCUACUGCUAACUUGAAUGGGGUUAGAGGGAUUUAAUUGUGAGGCUCUUCUAGACUUUCGAUGUGGGGAAAAAAUGGGGAAAAAGUCUUUUUGGGUGGCCCGUGGCAUCAUGUGUUGGACCCGGAAGUUGUAAUUCAACUGUUUGGCCACUAUGAAAAUUGGCUUGAAAAUUCAGCACAUUUCCUGAGGCAAAUUUCCAUUUCCUAGGACAGGGAAGGCAUGUCUCUCCUUACUCUGCCUUACUCUGCUUUUGAUUGGCUUACUGUGAAUUCUUACCCUCACCCGAACCAAUCCCACUCCUCUUGCUUAAACCUAACCAACCCAACCAACGAUAGCAGCAAGUAGUAGCAAUCAGAGGGACGGUUUGGUGCAUCAGCGUCAUGCCUUUGCUAUCCUUUCCCCACUUUCUGCGGGCCUGCGUGCAAUGGCGGAUUGGUCAUCGGGACGUUCGGCGGGAAUCCCGAUGGGAUGGUCAACAAGUUGCCCGUUGUGGGCCGGUGGGGCCGGCCUGGUGGUCAAAGAAAGAAAGAAAGAAAGAAAGAAAAAAGUGAAUGUCAAGCAAGUUGCUAGCUGUCAGUACUGCAAUGUGCGUCUCUCCCGUGUUGUUUGUUUGCUGUGAGAUGUUCAGAGGGAACGUAGGUGUCAGUCUUAUUUUUUGAUGCUUGAAGGAGGAGAUAAGAGCGGCCUCUUGCAAUACGAAAGAGGCCCUUGUUUUUCUUGAAAUCUCAUCUCAGUCAUCACUUAUGACAGACCAGGCUAGUUUGACCGUUAGUGCUAGCUAUUGAGAAAGGAGAAAGACAGAAAACAUAAAGCCGGUAAAAAAACAAACAAAAAAAAAGGGUGGCGCGGAAAAAACCCGAAUAAAAAAACUUCAAUCUUUACAAGAAGAGGCAGCAAAGUGCUCCAAAAUAACUGAUCUGUUUGGCUGCAGCGUUGGUCGAGGGGCUGAGGCUGCCGGUGUUGCUAACAACGGAGAUGGAGCUGGAGCCGACAGUGCCAUAGCAGGUGCAUUAAUGUGUGUGUGGGCCAGUGUGUGGGCCGGUGCGCCUGAAUGUCCCAGGCUGAAUGUGUGUCCCAGUUGGCCCCUGGCUGCGUACCCAUCAGAAUUUAAUAACAUUUGGAAAGUCCAGAAGAGCCAAAUCAUUAAAUCAUUUUAUCCCUAUUCAAGUUAGCAGAGCACCGAACCGGAAGUAGCAGUAGUCUCUUGUACACCUGCUCUAUGGGCCCAACAGUGAGGAAGCGGCAGCAUCCAGGUCAUUUUAUCCACAGCAGUUGAGCAUUUUCUGCUUCAAGCACCACUGAGCAACUUUUAUAGGAAUGAACAGGAUCCAGCCUCUUACACUGUAUCCAGUUCUGUUAAUACAUCUACGGUGAUUUUUUGUUCUUAUUUAAUGUAAAGCACUUUUUACAUUUGUUUUUGAUAUAGAAUAGAAAGCCUUUAUUGUCAUUUUACAAAGAGUAUACAAGGAGAUUAAGAGGGCUACAUCUGAUCAGGUGCCAACUAGUCAUUAAAACACGCAAGUAAAGAAACAGACAACAUUAUCAUUUAUAAAAUCUGAAAUAAAUUGUGUAAAAAUAGGCUGUAUCAAAGUGUUGCAAGUGUAAAAUAAAUAGUGUAUUGCACUUAAUAGAGUAUAACACUAAUAAGCAGUGGGUUGUACAUAUAGAGCAAGAUCAUUUAUGUUUUGAUCUAUCAGCCUGAUGACACGCGACGUGUGUUUAAAGCUGUAAAUAAAGUUAAUUGUCAUUACUGUUGUCAUAAAGUGGCUACCGUCUCCUGUUCACCUAUAUUGCAAACAUUUGAUCUCAGAAACGAGGACAAGAAUAAAGCUGCAUAAGUUUUGUUCAUGUGAACUGUUAUCUGAGCAAAAUUCAGUCACUGAAGAUGACAGUGAGAAAGCUCUUGGCAAGAAAAUGUUUUGUUUGUUCUCUUUCUAGCCAUACAGAUAUUUUUUGUAUUAUUUGCUGCUUUUAUUUUGAGUUAUCUGAAUUACUGAAAUUUAAUUCUUCAAUGCAAGGAGCACCGGAAACUAAAUAACUUAUUUUUAAAAAUUCUUCUGCGUCCUUCUUGUGUAUUUUGUUGUUUAUUUCUAUGAUUUCCUUUCAUUUUCUGUUUGAUAUGCAUUUAACAGAAUUAUUUGAAAUUAAAUAAAUAAAGUUGAUGAAACUGUGA